CUAAUUUCUUGAAAUCUGGUGAUGCUGCCAUUGUUGAUAUGGUUCCUGGCAAGCCCAUGUGUGUUGAGAGCUUCUCUGACUAUCCUCCUCUGAGUCGUUUUGCUGUUCGUGAUAUGAGACAGACAAUUGCUGUUGGUGUCAUCAAAGCUGUGGACAAGAAGGCUGCUGGAGCUGGCAAGGUCACCAAGUCUGCCCAGAAAGCUCAGAAGGCUAAAUGAAUAUCCCUAAUGCCUGC